UCGUAAGUCAAUUUUAUUUUAUUUUAUUUUAUUAUUAUUAUUUUUUUACAACAACUGUUGGUAGGCCUAAUUUUUUUUUUUCCCUGUUUAAAUUUAAUUUCAAAAACAUUUUAAAGAUAGCAUUGCAAAGUACUUGACAUCUUUUCUUUUUAAAUUUCUUCAGUAACUAUUGAAAAGAUGGUGUACACUUACCAUUGAAAUCUUAUAAAAAUAUAGUAAUAAAAAUAAUUAAUACAAUAAAAAAUAAUAAAAAAGAGAGUUCGAAAUAUUAUUAUUAUUAUUUUGUAAAAAAAUCUCUCUCCUUACCUGCGUAUUCGACCUAUCUUGCAACGCUCUCAUCAAACCUAGAACCAAAAAAAAAAAAAAAAAAUCACUACCAAACAACCUCUCUCUCUCUCUAUCAAAAAUUUUGUCCCCAAAUGUUCAUCUCACAAACUGUGAUUGCCAUUAUACUGGGAAUCAAGGUCAAAGACCACUCACAAGACCAUCAUAAAAACUUUGUUUGCAAUCAUAGUUGUGGUUUUGGCGGCGGUGACAACAGAGAAUGAAGACGGCAGCAGCGGAGGCAGAGGUGGAGGAAGACGGUGGCAAAGGAGGCAGAGGUGGAGGAAGAUAGACUCGGCGGAGGAGGAGGGAGAGGGAGACGACGGCAGCGGCGGAGGAGGAGGCCAACCCGAAUUAAAAUACCCAAUUCGGGUUGGACGGGUUGGGCUCGGGUUAGAACCUUUCUAACAUGAGGUCAACCCGAAUUGGGCCCGGGUGAGCAUUAUUCAGCCCGAGCCCAACUCGAAGCUCUAAAAUUGGGAGCCCCAACUCAAAACACUUUGGGUUGGGUUAGAGUUGGGCUGGGCUAGCCCGCCCAACUUGCACCCCUACCAGGGGUUUUAAGUUUCUUAUUCUCUGUUGGCUGAUAAACUAAAGAAGAGCGAUUCAAUCCGCGAAUACGAAAACCCUGCGGUUCUCUCUCCACCCAUUUGCUUGCUCUCCAGUUCAGUACUUUCUCACCCUGUUGACAUAUAAAUGUAUAUGUAUCUAUUGUAAUCGUGUAUGUAUGAAAUAUUUAAAGCCUUUUUCUGACCAAUUUGUUGUUAGGUGGGCCUAUUCAUACUUGUAUAAGUUCUGAAUGUUUUUCAUUACAAUCAGCAAUGGAAAAUGCAUCAAUGCUUAUACAUAUAUAUACAAACACACACAUAUGUGUGUGUCCUUAGUUGUGUGUUUUGGAUGAGUAGCUAUCAAUAAAUUUGACAGCUUGCAUUCAAUCUUGAUCCUGUUUUGGUUGUUUCUUGAUAAUCUCUCAUUAUUUGCUUUUAAAGUCCCCCGGCACUUACAUUUCUUAGUAUCGGUAUUGUGAUCGACACUUAGAAUGAUAAAUUCCCUUUUCUGUUUUUCACAUUCUUUUCUUGUUUAGGAUACAAAUAAAAAUAAAUAAAAAAAAUCAUAUUGGCUAGUCCAAUAUUACUCUAAUUGCUUAUUUGUUUUCACAUAAACCUAGAAGAUUGCCUUAACCUAAUGAGUAAGGAAACCUAGAAGAUUGUAUUAGGCUUUCCAUUCUCACUUCCCUUUUCUUCCUUUCUCUAGUAUCUCAGCUGGUAUUAGGAGAUUAAUAAAAUGGAAUUGAGAACUAAAAAAAAGCUAGCCCAGUGCACGAGGUUCCACCAUUGCGGGAUUUGGGGAGGGUCAGAUGUACACUGUACAAAUUAAAUAUGUAUAACCCUUUUUCCAGAAUGCGUUUGUUUGUUAACAAAUUGGUGCUAUAAACCUUUCCUACACUGCAUUGUAUUCGUUUUCUUUAUUUUUUAUUUAUUUUUGCUAACUAGGUAGUUGGACCUCCUUGAGCACCCUGCUAAUCCCUGUGGCCACUUGUAGUCUCCUCGUCUAAAGAAUAUUGCACAAUUGCUGGAGGAUGGCCCAAGAGGGGACUGUACUAUAUUAAUCUACUGUAUACCUAAAUAUUAUCCUCCAUUUAGAUAGCUGGAUUAAGAAUUAAUAGAUUUGCAUUGGAGUAUUCUGUGAAAUUAGGGAUACGGGUAGUUUUGAAAUAAUAUGUGCAUGAAGUAUUUGGAAAUUCAUGCAUUGUAUGAUUUUAAUUGCAGAUAAAUCAAAAUAAAUUAUACGUCCCCUAAAUCCAAGGUCCUCUGCUCUUUCCUCCUCCUUGAUUAUUCAAUCUGACUCCAAAAGCCAAUCCCUAUUUAUAUUUGUGAUUUGAGCCCCAAAUUCCUUAUUUCUAAGCCCAUUCAUCCAUAUGGACCUUAAAUUUCUUCAACAUUAGUUGUUGAACAUUUAUAUGUGACAUGCUUUACUCCAAUACUAGUUAAACCACAAUACUGAUGGCUUCAUCAAAAUGAAACCUCUUUUAAGUGCUUUGCGGUUCCCAGAGUUCCAUGUGAGACUAGAUCGAGCAUGUAAUCCUACAGAACCUUAUAUAAUGUUAGUAGGAAUUAGAAAUAUUGCAUCUGUGCUCCAGUCAGGAAGUUGCUUGAAGACAUGCACGAGCAAUUAGAUUUCCAUGUACAGAAGGACUAGGCAUCACUGAGCAACAUAUUACGAGAGGUUUAUUACGAGCUCUAGAUUUUCCAGUUUUCUGAGUAUUUUAAUUUUUUUCCUUGAUUUUGUUUGUGUGAUUUGAAAUGGCAGAAUGAAUGAACUUUAAAAAAGCAGGGAAUUGGUAAUUACUUUUUCUAAUAUCAUUUUUAUGUGUAUAAGUGGAUAAAGUUUCUGUUCUUAUGGUCGAUCUACUUAAAUUUAAAUUGUGAUUUAGUGGCAUGUGCUGCAGCCAUGUAUCUUUAGGGAACAACUACAUUAUAUAUAUUUCAUCAAGUUUUUGAAUGUUUUCAGGCGAAGCAUUUCUCCUUUAUUUUUAUUGUGUAAAUGGGGAAUAUAUUGAACUAGCAUCAUCUUUGCAAUUUACCAAAGGUGUUCAAGUGAAGGCAUGGAAAUAAUUGAUAAAGGCUGUUGAUGAGCUAUUCUUUUCUCUUGUUGAAGUGAACUUAUUGUUUUACAUCCAGAUGGAAGAAAAGGAAAACAUUACUUAAAAAAAACAAGUUGAGUAGAUUAAUGUGUAUUUAUUUUGCAACAUCUGUCUUUUGGUGCCUGCUACUCAAGUACCUGCUUAUAUUGAGUCAUUUAUGUAUUUCAUGGAUUUGCUGUUUAGCUUUCAUUAACAUGGCUGUGAUUAGGAUUCUAGUUGCAUGGGCUAUUUUCUUGUGAUAAAGUUGACGUCUCUUUAGCUAUAAUGAUACCUAAACAUGGAUUGCUGUGGCAUGCAAGAUAGUUUUGCAUAUUGCUUAUUAAUAAGGUAGAAUGUAAUAAGGUAGAAUAUUCAAAUGCUUUAGUUUUUAAAAAAAUUUUCUAUUUAAUAUAUGAUAGAUGGCUCUUUAGUUUAGAUGCACACUAUAUAUAUUCCACUUUUAAAAGCAUAUUUAAUAUUAAUCAUGGAAUGGCUCAGCAUAGUCAUUACCUAUUUGUUUGUUGUUUUGUUGUGUCAUGGUUGAGAGGGCCGCAAUGAACCAAGAUGUUCAUUGGCAGCUUGAGCUUGGCUAAGUUUUGGGCUCAUUUAUGAUUUUAGUGAACCAAGUUGAAGCAUUAAUGUGACUCUCUUUUAAUAAGCAAGAGUCAAAAAAGGCCCAAGCCCGGAUACAUAUGUAAGGAGGACAUAUCCAUAACAUGUCCGUGUGCAAGAAUGGCACUCAUUGAAUUCUCGUACAUACAUGUCCGAUACUGCCUAAAUAUAUUUAUAACAUUAUUACUUUAUUUUGAAUGUGUAUAUGAUAUUUCGUCAAGACAUAAAAAAACCACCAGUUUAACAAGUAUUUGAACAUUAAAUGUAACUUUUCGAAGUAUAACAUCAUAAUAUAAUUGUUAAGAAAAGUUUGGAUUUUUUUUGAAAAAGAAGAAUUGAGAUAUAAUGAGAAUAUAUCAUGACUAAUUUGGUCCGAAGUUUAUCUAUGCAAUAUAACUCUCAAUUCUCAGCUUGUUUUUCGAAUUUUCUUUUUUAUAAGGAAAUAUAAGCACCGGAUAUAUAGUAUGACAAACAAUGAUUUUGAAUUUAUACAUAUAUACCUAUAUAUAUUAAUUUUAUAUGUAACUACAUUAAUAUAGUAUAUAUUGUUGUGUCCUUGCUGUAUUCUUGUCCUAUUUUUAAAGAUUUUUUCAUAUCACCACAUCCAUAUCAUGUCAAGUCCAUAUUGCUUAUCUGUAUCCAUUUUCUGUAGUCUGAGUUGAGCUUGAACUUAGAUUCUAAACUCAUACCAGGUCGGAGCUGAACUAACACCUAAUUCAGCCAAGGCAAGCCAAGCCCAAACAGAUACUUGACUACGCUCAGUGUUAGCCCAUUACAUGGUCCAUCUUUUGUAUCGUUUUACUUGUUCUUUUUUUCUAAAAGAAGAAAAAUAAAUUCAGGUUAUUGUCAUUUUUUUAAAUAUGCCUUGCAGAAAAAGGAAAAUAUAGGAUUAUUUUGGUGGUGCUAAAUAUAGUAUGUUGGAAUGGAAGUGUACCACAUAGGAUUAUUUUGGGGGUGCCAAAUUUAGUACCUUGGAAUGGAAGUGCACCAUAUUCAUGGUCACGUGAUCCAGCAAUCAGAUUGCUGAUCGGUAGAGUAUUAGCAAUAAGGCUGCUCUUCAUUUAAUGCUGAAUUCCGGCUAUGCCAAUCAUUACUUUCCUGUCAGUGGAAACUGUUUGGCAGGAGCAGCUCCAGUGGCUGAGAAAUUCCCAUGACAUCAUUUCCUGGAGCGAGGAACUUUUGAUUUAGCAUUGAACAGAGGGCAUAGCUGCACAUCUGGCAAAAGGGAAUGCUUUUUAAAGCGAAGAAGUACACUGACAACCAACAAAAAAAAAAGUGACCAAUCGAGAUUAAUGUGAUGACAUCACGUACGACCCACAUGAAUGUAUCUGUAUGCCAUUUUUCUUUCAUACUGCUUAGUCGGCCUAUAUUUCUGGCUUGAGUUGCAUUACUCCUGUCAGAAAUAGAGUUGAUCAGGCUCCUUUUAUCAUUGAUCAGGUAGAGAAUUAUUAUGGGGACUUCAUUCCCAUUAUUAGUAGUCAAGAUCUGUUCAAACUGCAGAGUAAAGUUACAUUCCUUCUGACAGAAGCAAAAAGGUCCUUAGAUGAUCUAUUGCUGCUGGCAUGCAUCUGGCAAUUGCAGAAACGGCUGAAUGAAGGUGUCUCUGGUGCAGUGGUGCUCAUUAUUUCAGUCAUUGACAGAGUGACCAAGAUUUGAUAAAGGCGGUUAAUGAGCUAUUGUUUUCUCUUGUUGAAGUAAACUUACUGUUUUACACCCAAAUGGGAGGAAAGGAAAACAUUACGUAAAAAACAAGAUAGGAACAUGGUGCACUUUUUUUCCCCAGAUGUGGCACAGCAAUGAUGGCCUUUUAUAGUUUUGCAUUUUGCUUAGUAAGAAAUUAGAAUGUGACAAGAAAAAGGAAAAUAAGAUGGAUAGGAUUACUUGGGUGUUGCCAAAUAUGGUAUCUUGCCAUCUUGGAAUGGAAGUGUACUAUAUAGGAUUAUUUUGGGGGUGCCAAAUUUAGUAUCUUGGAAUGGAAGUGCACCAUAUUCAUUCUCAGGUGAUCAACGUUGCUUGAUCUGUAGGGUAUUAGCAAUAAGACUGCUCUUCAUUUAGUGCCAAUCAUUACUUUCUUCAGAGGAUACUGUUUCCUUUUUUUGGUGGGAGGCUGGGAGCAGCUCCAGCAGCUGUGGAAUUCCUAUGACAUCAUUUCCUGGAGUGAGGACAACUGUUGUUUUAGCAUUGAGCAGAGGGCAUGGCUGUACAUCUGGCAAAAAGAAAUGCUUUUUAAAGAGAAGAAGUUCAAAGACUAACCAAAAAAGAAAAAGAAAAGAAAAGUGACCAAUAGACAUUAAUGUGAUGACAUCACGUAGGACCCACAUGAAUUCAUCCGUUGGCCAUUUUUCUUUCGUACUGUUUAGUCGGCCUAUAUUUCCGGCUUGAGUAGCAUUACUCCUGUCAGAAAAGAGUUGGUCCAGUCACCUUUUAUCAUAUAUCGUUGAGAAAAUUAUUAUGGGCACUUCAUUCCCAUUAUGAGCAUUCAAGAUCUGUUCAAACUGCAGAGUAAAGUUCCAUUCCUUCUGAUCUAUUGCCUGCUGUCAUGCAUCUGGCAAUUGCAGCAGAGGCUGAAUGAAGGUGCCUCUGGUGCUGGUGCUCAUUCUUUCAGUCGGGCUUGAAGGAUAUCAAAUUACAAGUGAUUCAAUUCUCCCUUCGCUUAUCAAAGCUCCCUACAUAAGUCUUCAGAAAAAUCAAUAUACAAGUCAUUCAACUUGUAAGGUACGUAUCUUGUAGCUGUAAGAAUUUAAAUGACAGAAUUUAAUAAGAAACACAAUCCUGCUGUGGAAAUUCUGGUAAAAGCUUCAAACUUUGUUCCUUGUGCGUAUUUAAACUAAACUUUUCACUAAAAUUUUCUGUAGCACUUACAUUUGCUUGAAAGACAGUUUUCUAAAUUCUGGCAUCUGAUAUUCUGAAACUAGUCACUUGACAAUUAUAACAUGCUGCUGCUGCAAUAUGUUUUUAGCUGAACUCCGUUCGAGUGCAAUAUGGAACUUCUUCCAGUGCAGAAGAAAGGAGAACUCUGCUACAUCAGCACAAUAUUGAAAUACGCUUGUGUUGGGGAUUCUUUUUCUUUUUCCUUUUUUAUUUCGAAAAUUUUCUUUUCUAGUUUAUAUGCAUAUAUGUAGAGCUUCCAUGUGAAUCACAAAUGGCACGUAACAGCACAUGACAAUAUCUGCUCAAUCAUCAUUCCCUUAUUGUCCUUUAUAGAGUAAAUACUCGUGUUUGUUAUUAUGGUUUCUCAAUCUGAUGUAGAAUUUAGCGAUCUAAAUCUACAUUUUUGGACUAGAUUGUACAACGUAUACAUGUGUCCAUCAUUUAUGUGACUAAAUACAUGCAUGUGGCGUUCAUGCACACGUGUACUUGUAUAUGACUAGUUGACUUGUAUUUCCUCCAGUUUCCUUUUGGAACUCCUACUUUAAUUACUCAUUAAUAUCAAAUGCCCUGGUUGACACCUUGACGGUGCAUGUGAAUCACGAAUGACACAUAACAGCACAUGUAGAGCUUCCAUGUGAAUCACGAAUGGCACGUAACAGCACAUGAUAAUAUCCGCUCAAUCAUCAUUCACUUUCUGUCCUUUAUAUAGCAAAUACAUGUGUUUAUCAUUAUGGUUUCUCAAUCUGAUGUAGCCAAUCUACAUUUUUUGGACUGGAUUGUACAAAGUACGCAUGUAUCCAUCAUCUACGUGACUAAAUGCAUGCAUGUGGUGCUCAUGCACACGUGUACUUGUAUAUGACUAGUUGUAGUUAACCUGUAUUUCCUCCAGUUUCCUUUUGGAACUCCUACUUUAAUUACCCAUUAAUAUCAAAUGUCCUAGUUGGCACCAUGACGGUGCAUUGGAUGGGUUCACAUGGUAAAAUGCAAGGACAUUUUCAUGGAUCAACGGUUUCACCGUCCCAACUGUUCAACAACAGCUCUGACUUACCAAAGCUCUAACCCAUCUCUUUUAGCACUCAUCCCUGCACUGCAUCACUGUGCUACUAUAGGUUUUGACAAGUGCACAAAAAUGACUGUACGGAAGCUAUUAUAACUCUUUACAAGCUUAGUCACACACUUUGUUAGUAUGGUUUUAGAAUUGUUCUCGUCAAUGAAGCAGACUUUUCUUUGCAGAACUUAUAAUUUUGUUAAUUCUAACAGAGAGUUCACUGCUGUUUGGAGUUUGGACAUAUAUCAGUUGGUUUUUUUUUUUUUCUUCUUCUUCUUCUUUUUCUUUUAUUUAUUUAUUUCCUUUUUUUGGUAAGAAAGGUUGGGACAACAUUUUGUUUUGGUGAUGGUGAUACAGAAAGUCAGGAACUGGAUGUCAUAAUAUUGAUAGGUGGAUCCUGGUUCUUGUUUGAUCGAAAAGCACUGAGAUAUUUUCGUAAGACAAGGAAUGUCCAUUGUGGAGGAAAGGGAACAUAUGGAAAAUCAGUUUGUGAAGCUAAUGAGAAAAUAAAGGCGUGCUGUUGUAUAUAUCAUCUAAAAAUCGUGCUUUCUGGUUGAUUUGAGUUACGGAGCUGUUUAAAAUUUUUAUUUCCUGUGGACUUUCUUUAUUAAAAAAUAAAUUUAGUUUGGUAAAUAUGUUUUAUCUUAAUUAUCUUUCAAAUUGCUUGGCGACUGGAUGCUAAUGGAAAAAGAUAAAAGGCUCUCUUAUGUAAAUCCCAAGAUCCAAAUCAAGUGCCAAAUCUUAUUUUUAAUAUGAAAUUUUACUGUCAUCUUCAUUUGGGAUUUGAAACACCAUUAUGGAACUUCCUAAUGCUUCUAGUCAUGGAUGUUCUCUACUUGAAUUAGUUUUGUUUGUAUUGGAAGAAUAUCAUAGGAGUGAUUUUUACUGUAUAGUAGAAUAUUGAUUGGAGUGAUUUAUGGGAUUGAUUUUACGAAUUUUCCAUCAAUGUAUUUCCAUAUUUAUCACUUGUAUUCUUUCACCUAUAGAAAGAGGUGAUCAUUGUAAACAAUAUGAAGAGAGAAUGUAAUGAAAGCUUAGGGCUUUGUGUGUCAUGGAUGUAAGCCCUAAUGGCUUAAUAACGUUACAUUCUUGAGUUCUUCAUGUUUAAUUUCUCUCUUCAACUUUUAUAUCUUUCAUCAGUUUGUAACAUCCUUUCUAUAUGCUAUUUAUGGAAAUGUAGAACCUGAAGUUGGAAAGACGAUGAGCAUGAAUUUCUGCUUGGCCAGAGACAGAAAAUUGCAGGAGAUGGAAAUGCUCCAACAAAGUUCAAUCCGUGUUCCAUUAUUUUGAGGCUUGUGAUCAGUAUAUAAUGCUGAUAGUGAAAACCCACAUAUCAAAGUUUAAAUUGCAGAGACCAGGGUGAAGUGGAUUAUUGCAAGUUAAAGUUUCAGCAAGGAAGUCAAGUUGAAGAAUUUCUGCUUGCCUCAGUGGCUUACUAAUCAUUAAAAUCUCAUACUUGCGAGAAAAUUUUACCUAGUUCCGGCCAAUUACAAUUCGACACGCAAGUAAAUGUGUCAGUUUUAUUUAAAUUUUUGCUCAAGUGUCGAGUUGUAUAUCCAGACUAUAAAACAAUUUUUUAUAUUUUUCACUGGACUGAAAAUUCUCUUCGAUAAGUUCCAUCUAGUCAGUGAUGUUCGGUUACUCACGAAGGAUUACGAUCAUCACUAACUCGACGAAAUAGCACGGGAACUCUUUGGAAGGAUUUUUGUCCACUUACCAGUUACCACUCAUGUCAUGUGAUAGAUUGGAAGUCUGUACAUUUUGCUAUGUGUAAUGGCUUUAUGAAUAAUUACAGACAAAAUAAGGGUACAUAGGGUAUAAUAAAAUAGGGGGGAGAGAUACAAGACGUAUUGCAGAUAUAUGUAUAUACAGUAAGACGAUCUUGUAAUUCUACAACUGCUUUUAACUUUUCAUGGACACAAGUUUUGAAGAUUGAAAAGCUGCUUACAAUGAAACAGGUGUGAAAGUUUGUGUUGCUGGUGGAUUUUCUCUCUCACUACAGUAUAUUUCUUGAAAGUUUUCACACAAUUUAGAUGAAAUAAUGCACAUUAUUAAGUUAUUAAAGUAAAAUUAGAAGGUUUUCUUUGAGAGUACUUGUAUCAAAAACAACAUAUUAUAAAUACUAAUAAUCUGUCUAUAAGUAUAUACACACGCACAUUAUGAUCCAUAUGAAAUAAAAGUCGAAUUGUCCUUCCUUGGUCAUUAACUUUUUCAUAAAAAAAAAAAAUUAAAAGAAAAGAUCUAAGAUGCUAAAUCGGGAAAUAAUGAUAUUAAGAUAUAUGAUUUCCCGCCAUUUUUAGAGAGACUAAAAACAAUAGGACUGUUUCCCGCCAUUUUUGCUGCAAGGGUUAAUCAUAACGCGAAAACGACGUCGUGACGAUGGUGUUUCCACCACUGAAUCCACCAGCCGACGCCGUUUACAGCAAACGGAAUGUGAGAAUUUGACCUCGCAAAAUGGGUUUCCAAAUUUGUCCUCUAUUUUUGAUAAAAUUCCACCUACCCCUAUAUGAAUUUAUUAAAAUGCCCCUUAGAGAAGUCAACAGCGACCACCGUUCACCGCAACUUGUGAACAUUUUAAAUUUAAAAAGUAAAAAAAAAAAAAAAAACAAAUUCCACUUUUUAUUUAUUUUACUGCCUAAAAAUUUAAAAAUUUAAAAGAGGUAUGUCAAAUAAGGUCAUCGGCUAUCAUUAAAUUGAAGAAAAUAAUUGUUAAUUUUGGUUCUUAAAAAAUAGAGAAUAGUGUUAACACCA